rnacentral:rRNA from 1 species
AUUGAACGCUGGCGGCAGGCCUAACACAUGCAAGUCGAGCGGAUGAAGGGAGCUUGCUCCUGGAUUCAGCGGCGGACGGGUGAGUAAUGCCUAGGAAUCUGCCUGGUAGUGGGGGAUAACGUCCGGAAACGGGCGCUAAUACCGCAUACGUCCUGAGGGAGAAAGAGGGGGAUCUUCGGACCUCACGCUAUCAGAUGAGCCUAGGUCGGAUUAGCUAGUUGGUGGGGUAAAGGCCUACCAAGGCGACGAUCCGUAACUGGUCUGAGAGGAUGAUCAGUCACACUGGAACUGAGACACGGUCCAGACUCCUACGGGAGGCAGCAGUGGGGAAUAUUGGACAAUGGGCGAAAGCCUGAUCCAGCCAUGCCGCGUGUGUGAAGAAGGUCUUCGGAUUGUAAAGCACUUUAAGUUGGGAGGAAGGGCAGUAAGUUAAUACCUUGCUGUUGUGACGUUACCAACAGAAUAAGCACCGGCUAACUUCGUG